rnacentral:lncRNA from 1 species
GUCCGAGACCAAGGACCCGACCCGUGUCCAGCCUCAUCUGAAGAAAUGCUUUGAAGGCAUUGCCAAGCUGGAGUUCACGGACAUUCUGGACAUCACUCACAUGAAGAGCAGUGAGGGAGAGGUGGUCCUUCUCAGAGAUGUGAUCUCUACCUCCAAGGCCAGAGGUCAGGUGGAGAAGUGGCUGCUGGA